rnacentral:rRNA from 1 species
AUUGAACGCUGGCGGCAUGCCUUACACAUGCAAGUCGAACGGUAACGCGGGGCAACCUGGCGACGAGUGGCGAACGGGUGAGUAAUGCAUCGGAACGUGCCCGGUAGUGGGGGAUAACUGCUCGAAAGAGCAGCUAAUACCGCAUACGACCUGAGGGUGAAAGGGGGGGAUCGCAAGACCUCUCGCUAUCGGAGCGGCCGAUGUCGGAUUAGCUAGUUGGUGGGGUAAAAGCCCACCAAGGCAACGAUCCGUAGCUGGUCUGAGAGGACGACCAGCCACACUGGGACUGAGACACGGCCCAGACUCCUACGGGAGGCAGCAGUGGGGAAUUUUGGACAAUGGACGCAAGUCUGAUCCAGCCAUGCCGCGUGCGGGAAGAAGGCCUUCGGGUUGUAAACCGCUUUUGUCAGGGAAGAAAUCUUCUGAGUUAAUACCUCGGGAGGAUGACGGUACCUGAAGAAUAAGCACCGGCUAACUACGUGCCAGCAGCCGCCGUAAGAC